GAGUUUGAUCGUGGCUCAGAACGAACGCUGGCGGCAUGCCUAACACGUGCAAGUCGAACGAAGUCUUCGGACUUAGUGGCGCACGGGUGCGUAACGCGUGGGAAUCUGCCCUUGGGUACGGAAUAACUCAGAGAAAUUUGUGCUAAUACCGUAUAAUGUCUUCGGACCAAAGAUUUAUCGCCCAAGGAUGAGCCCGCGUAAGAUUAGCUAGUUGGUGAGGUAAGAGCUCACCAAGGCGACGAUCUUUAGCUGGUCUGAGAGGAUGAUCAGCCACACUGGGACUGAGACACGGCCCAGACUCCUACGGGAGGCAGCAGUGGGGAAUAUUGGACAAUGGGCGAAAGCCUGAUCCAGCAAUGCCGCGUGAGUGAUGAAGGCCUUAGGGUUGUAAAGCUCUUUUACCCGGGAUGAUAAUGACAGUACCGGGAGAAUAAGCUCCGGCUAACUCCGUGCCAGCCGCCGCCGUAAU
rnacentral:rRNA from 1 species